rnacentral:rRNA from 1 species
GACGAACGCUGGCGGCGUGCCUAAUACAUGCAAGUUGAGCGCUGAAGGUUGGUACUUGUACCAAUUGGAUGAGCAGCGAACGGGUGAGUAACGCGUGGGGAAUCUGCCUUUGAGCGGGGGACAACAUUUGGAAACGAAUGCUAAUACCGCAUAAAAACUUUAAACACAAGUUUUAAGUUUGAAAGAUGCAAUUGCAUCACUCAAAGAUGAUCCCGCGUUGUAUUAGCUAGUUGGUGAGGUAAAGGCUCACCAAGGCGAUGAUACAUAGCCGACCUGAGAGGGUGAUCGGCCACAUUGGGACUGAGACACGGCCCAAACUCCUACGGGAGGCAGCAGUAGGGAAUCUUCGGCAAUGGACGAAAGUCUGACCGAGCAACGCCGCGUGAGUGAAGAAGGUUUUCGGAUCGUAAAACUCUGUUGGUAGAGAAGAACGUUGGUGAGAGUGGAAAGCUCAUCAAGUGACGGUAACUACCCAGAAAGGGACGGCUAACUACGUG